rnacentral:rRNA from 1 species
CAAAGGAAGCGAUUCCGGCAACGGAUGGGCAUGCGUGACAUUAGCUAGUUGGCGGGGCAACGGCCCACCAAGGCGACGAUGUCUAGGGGUUCUGAGAGGAAGGUCCCCCACACUGGUACUGAGACACGGACCAGACUCCUACGGGAGGCAGCAGUGAGGAAUAUUGGUCAAUGGGCGCGAGCCUGGACCAGCCAAGUCGCGUGAGGGAUGACGGCCCUACGGGUUGUAAACCUCUUUUGUCGGGGAGCAAAUUCCGCCACGCGUGGCGGAGUCGAGAGUACCCGAAGAAAAAGCAUCGGCUAACUCCGUGCCAGCAGCCGCGGUAAUACGGAGGAUGCGAGCGUUAUCCGGAUUUAUUGGGUUUAAAGGGUGCGUAGGCGGACUGUCAAGUCAGCGGUAAAAUACGGGGGCUCAACCUCCGCCCGCCGUUGAAACUGACGGUCUUGAGUGGGCGAGAAGUAUGCGGAAUGCGUGGUGUAGCGGUGAAAUGCAUAGAUAUCACGCAGAACUCCGAUUGCGAAGGCAGCAUACCGGCGCCCAACUGACGCUGAAGCACGAAAGCGUGGGUAUCGAACAGGAUUAGAUACCCUGGUAGUCCACGCAGUAAACGAUGAAUGCUAGCUGUCCGGGGCGAAUGGGCCCUGG